ACGCACAAAGUGCUGUCCAAGGGCAGCCCUAUAUUCCCUGGCCAUGUCAGAGCCAAACAAAACAUGGAAAACAAAUUGCAUAUCCAGCACUUGCUUUUCUCAUGUGUUGAGACAGACACAGGCAGUGGCCAUUGCUGUCAUGAGACAGAAUUUGCUGCAACGUGAACAUGUGACUGGAGGAAGGUCAUGAGGAAAACACAACAGGGAAUUGUGUCUGGAUACAGACAACUUCGAUGAGCAAAUGUGAGCCCAAACCAUGAGAGAUGCUUCUGGAGCCAAACCCAAUGAUGAGCAUCUCAGCUCUGCUGUCCAAACAAAUCCCUGAGGAUCACAGCCCCUCAUGCCAGUAAGCACAUGGACAGUCUUGGUGCUCCUACAUUGCCAACUGCACCAAGGUGAAGCAGAGCAGAGGAAGAGCCAGAAGGUGGAUGGUCCUUCCUGGAGUGGAUAAAGAAGCUGAAAGGUACCAGUGUUUGAUGUUGGAGUGAUACAGAAAAACGGCUGCCUCAGAGACAAAAACACUACAGGCUUUACAAUGGAUUUUGCAGCUUGUCUUACUCAAAGGCACUGCUGUGUAGGGACAAAGUUUUCAUAAGUGUUCUGGUCAGAGUUAAACAUACCAUCAUUUCUUAGCAAAUUGUUCUAGUAAUUAGAAAGCAGAUACAUAAAAACUUGGAUGAGACUUGUGUAAAUGAGGACAUUUCUUUCCCCUUCAGAUUGUUCUUCUGCUUAAACUAACAUGAAACAACAAGUGUGACAUUUCUUGGAAGAAAUACAAGCUAAUUUCGGAUUAGACUUCUGAUGCCGAGAAUGCCUUUUCAUAUAGAACUGGUGUAUUGCUUGAAUUACCAGUGCAGUCCAUGAAGGAGUUUCAGCUGUGUCAGAGAUCAGCAUCUGAUGCUGAUUUCUGUUUUAAAGAAAACACUGGUUAAAAGGAGAAGAUGGUGCUCUUGAGUGGGAGACCCAAGGUCCAUAUCCAGCAAGACUCUUAACAGCAUGUGAAUUUGUGCGUGCUGUUGAAUUCAGUAAUAGGACUCUUCUACUUAAAACUUUGUGCACAUAUGUGCCUACAGCAUACUUGGUAAGAAAAAACACCCAGAAAAACGUGCGAACAAAUGCUUCUGUGCAACUGCCUAGUCAAGCAAGAUGUGCUUUGGUUGACUCUCUGCUGGAGUUUUCACUGCAUAAUUCGGGAUCAUCUUUAAUAAACCAUGUGGCCAUUGGUCCUUCUGAAGCAUAGAUGCCUAGGGAAUGUAAUGACUCUUUCCUUUUUUUGUUUAUGCAUGCUUUAUUUUCUUUAUUUCUUUCAUCUUUUGGCUCACAGCCUCCAGCAGGGGAACAAAGUCUACUGUUAAUGUAUCUUACUGGAGGAUGUUUGAAACACGAUAUAAGAAGACACUACAUGUCAUUAUCUACUAUGCUGCUGAGAGCUGGAGACUAAUUUCCAGAUGACAUAUGUUGUCAACACUGCUAUAUGGAUAACAGCUUAGGGGCAAAGUCAUAGAUAAGACUCCCACUGGGCUGGAAACUGUGAUGCAAAGAUUAUCUCUGGGUUGCAGAACUUAGCUAUAGCUUCUGCACACUUCUCUGCUCAGCCUACUGCUGUUCUUCUCCCAGACUGCUUCCUUACACCCAUUAAUAACAAUGUAUUUUCCUUGACUGGCAAUUGCAUGCCUUGCUUAGUAUUUGUUUAAUGAAAUCAAUAAAUGAAAAAUGUCUGUGUUUA